rnacentral:rRNA from 1 species
UACGUAGGGGGCAAGCGUUGUCCGGAUUUAUUGGGCGUAAAGAGCGUGUAGGCGGCCAAGCAGGUCCGCUGUGAAAACUCGAGGCUCAACCUCGAGACGUCGGUGGAAACCGUUUGGCUAGAGUCCGGAAGAGGAGAGUGGAAUUCCUGGUGUAGCGGUGAAAUGCGCAGAUAUCAGGAAGAACACCCGUGGCGAAGGCGGCUCUCUGGGACGGUACUGACGCUGAGACGCGAAAGCGUGGGGAGCAAACAGG